rnacentral:rRNA from 1 species
GAUGAACGCUGGCGGCGUGCCUAAUACAUGCAAGUCGAGCGAACAGACGAGGAGCUUGCUCCUCUGACGUUAGCGGCGGACGGGUGAGUAACACGUGGAUAACCUACCUAUAAGACUGGGAUAACUUCGGGAAACCGGAGCUAAUACCGGAUAAUAUAUUGAACCGCAUGGUUCAAUAGUGAAAGACGGUUUUGCUGUCACUUAUAGAUGGAUCCGCGCCGCAUUAGCUAGUUGGUAAGGUAACGGCUUACCAAGGCGACGAUGCGUAGCCGACCUGAGAGGGUGAUCGGCCACACUGGAACUGAGACACGGUCCAGACUCCUACGGGAGGCAGCAGUAGGGAAUCUUCCGCAAUGGGCGAAAGCCUGACGGAGCAACGCCGCGUGAGUGAUGAAGGUCUUCGGAUCGUAAAACUCUGUUAUUAGGGAAGAACAAAUGUGUAAGUUACUAUGCACGUCUUGACGGUACCUAAUCAGAAAGCCACGGCUAACUACGUG